rnacentral:rRNA from 1 species
ACGUGAGUAAGUCUGCCCUUCACUUCGGGAUAACCGCCGGAAACGGCGGCUAAUACCGGAUACGACGCACCUUCGCAUGAAGUGUGCGUGGAAAGUCUUGUCGGUGGAGGAUGUGCUCGCGGCCUAUCAGCUAGUUGGUGAGGUAACGGCCCACCAAGGCUUCGACGGGUAGCCGGCCUGAGAGGGUGACCGGCCACACUGGGACUGAGACACGGCCCAGACUCCUACGGGAGGCAGCAGUGGGGAAUAUUGGACAAUGGGCGAAAGCCUGAUCCAGCAACGCCGCGUGAGGGAUGACGG